UUCGCCCUUCGGGGUGCAGCAGGCGCGAAAACUUUGCAAUGCGGGAAACCGUGACAAGGGAACUCUGAGUGCCCGUAAAAUCGGGCUGUCCAUCGGUUUAAAUAACCGGUGAAGAAAGGGCCGGGCAAGACCGGUGCCAGCCGCCGCGGUAAUACCGGCGGCUCGAGUGGUGGCCACUAUUACUGGGCUUAAAGCGUUCGUAGCUGGUCUGUUAAGUCUCUGGGGAAAUCUUCCGGCUUAACCGGAAGGCGUCUCAGGGAUACUGGCAGACUAGGGACCGGGAGAGGUGAGAGGUACUCCAGGGGUAGGAGUGAAAUCCUGUAAUCCUUGGGGGACCACCUGUGGCGAAGGCGUCUCACCAGAACGGCUCCGACAGUGAGGGACGAAAGCUGGGGGAGCAAACCGGAUUAGAUACCCGGGUAGUCCCAGCUGUAAACGAUGCGCGUUAGGUGUAUCGGUGACCACGAGUCACCGAGGUGCCGAAGAGAAAUCGUGAAACGUGCCGCCUGGGAAGUACGGUCGCAAGGCUGAAACUUAAAGGAAUUGGCGGGGGAGCAC
rnacentral:rRNA from 1 species